UACGAAGGGGGCUAGCGUUGCUCGGAAUCACUGGGCGUAAAGGGUGCGUAGGCGGGUUUUUAAGUCGGGGGUGAAAUCCUGGAGCUCAACUCCAGAACUGCCUUCGAUACUGGAAGACUCGAGUCCGGGAGAGGUGAGUGGAACUGCGAGUGUAGAGGUGAAAUUCGUAGAUAUUCGCAAGAACACCAGUGGCGAAGGCGGCUCACUGGACAGUAACUGACGCUGAUGCGCGAAAGCUAGGGGAGCAAACAGGG
rnacentral:rRNA from 1 species